AGACCGGCAAACCGCAGUCCCUGCCCCGCGGGCUUCCUUUACUUUUUGGGAGUGGGGGGCGGUUUCCCUGCUUUUUCCACCACAGCCCCUCCUCCCGCCGCAAUGUGGCUGAUGCUCAUAAAAAGUUGUAUUAAAGAGCUGACUGCAGCCGAGAAUCGAUCAACAAAAGCGACCAGCCUCUCUGGGUAAAAUAGCUGUGCGUUUUUCAGGGCACUGGAAUUGAUCUAUACGGAUCAGAAAGACCGACAGCCCGCUCUCAGCAGCCUCUUGGAUACGCUUCACUUUCUGUCCAGGCACAUAAACACCACGGCACCAACCCUUCGUCCUCCCUAGUAGCCCAUACUUGUGGAGGAAGAAAAGGAAAAUAAACUGGCAUGUAUUAAUUACAAUGGGCCAGGCACCGUGCUAGAGCGCUGUGUAUAUGAUUUCACCUCUUUAGAAUACAAAUGUGCACAUUUUAUUAGUAUUACUGGAAGGAGGGUGGUAGAGAAAACAGUAAGGACGUGUUUUCUCUCACAAUCUGACACAUCUAUGAUUGAGUGAUUGAUUGUUUUUCAUUUAACAAUUAUUAGGCCUUACCAGGCUUAGCAGGCACAGUUGUAGGUGCUGGGAAUACAGCGUUGUACAAAACAGAAAAGAUACUGCUUCUUGACGUUCUAGCAGGCAAGCCUCUCUCGUCUUAUAAUUCCUAAUAACAAUUUAAUAGCUUGUCUUUCUCUUGUUUUAGGUCACACUCCUUCAGCUUCCCCGUUUCUGAAUCCCAGGUCUAUCCACGGCCUUCUCAACAGAUGACUUCAAGUUGAUUUCGUGCUUUAUUUCUUAAGAAUAGUGACUAACCUAAGGGAUCUGAUUCAAUUUAUUAGGAACACAGUGCCACCUUCCAAAAUUACUUACCUAAGAGGACUGAGCCUGCUGUCCCUGGAGCAGUUAGCUAAAACAGUGCCUCAGUACGGAGCGUACCUGUGUUAACUUCUAGAGUGCUGUUUCCGGCAGCUGCUGAAAUCCACGCUGAGGUUAUCAAGCUCAUCCUACAAAAUAAAGCAAGUUCUUCGCAAUUUAAAGCAAAAAUCUGGGCUUAUUUUUAGGGUUUUGGGGGAUGUGAAAGUUGUCUUAGAUAAGAUUCCAGGAAAGCUAAGAACUAACGAUGCAAUUACAGUCACCUUUCAACAACUUUGGGGAUUGGGUUGAGGAAGGUGUGAAAUUGGGAAAUAUAAUAAAAGGUAUUAUAUUAGUGACUUUCUAGAGUAGCCCUUGGCAGUCCUGUCUUUAAAGAGUAAUAACUGGAAAAAAAAAUGAAUGAUAAUACACUGCAUCCAAGAACCUUGCCUCUGGUGAGGGUAAUUUGCAAACGCAUUUUGGGAUAAUGUUCAGCAUUCAAUAUAAUCUUCCCUGGAAUUAGCAAUGCCUUUUGGGUCAGAGUUUCUUAGGUUUCUUCAGUCAUACAAUUAAAAUUGUUUCUGGAUUAUAUUGCCCAUAUUUGUUUCUAAUUCUCCAUUUUGCCUGUGUUUUAACUGCUAGCGAUUAAUAACUGCCAUAUAAUAAGCUAAGCAUUUAUUAUGUUUCAGGCACUGUUCUAACUGCAUUAAAAUAAUAUCUCAUUUAAUUCUCAUAAAUUUUGAGAAAAGUUUUAUUAUUCCUAUUUUACAGUUGAGUAAACUGAGGCUUAAAGUUAAGCAUAUUGUCCAAGGUGCCUCCACUCCUUAGUCAUAAGCUAAAUUUGAUCUGAGUGACUCCAAAACCUGUUCUCUUAAUGGUUAUGCUGAAAUGCCCUUCUUAGAAUGAUUCCUCAGGAAGUCAAAUGCUAGGUAUAUAGUACAACCACUUUGGAAAACUGGCAAUAUCUGUUAAAGUUAAACAUAUGAAAACCCUAUGGCCCAGCAGUUCCACGCUUAGGAAUAUACCAAUGUCCCAUGUGUGCCAAAAGACUAUUAAAUCACUCAGAGCAACCCUAUUCAUAAAUAACCCCCAACCAGGAAACAACCCAAAUGGUCAUAAACAGUAAAAUAGAUAAAUAAUUGGUGGUAUAUUCAUACAACAGAGUACAUUCUACCACACUAAGAAUGAACAAUCUGCUUCCAAAUGCAGUAAAAUAUAUGAACCUUACAAAUGUGCUAAGUGAAAAAAGGGAGAUGUACAAUUGCGGGACUCCAUUUAUGUGAAGUACAGAAACAGACAAAAGUCAUUGAUGCUAUUCAAAGUCAGGAUAGUGGUUACCCUUGAGAGAGAGCUGAUGACUAGGAGAGAACACCAAUCGGCUUCUGGGGAGCUGGUAGUGUUGUUUCUUGAGCUGGGUACUGGUGUGUUCAGUUUGUGAAAAUUCAUUGAGCUGUACUAUUGAUAUAUGCAUCUCUGUGUAUGUAAAUUAUGCUUCAAUAAAAAGCUUUAAAAUGC
rnacentral:lncRNA from 1 species